rnacentral:rRNA from 1 species
UUUAAUGAGAGUUUGAUCCUGGCUCAGGACGAACGCUGGCGGCGUGCCUAAUACAUGCAAGUAGAACGCUGAUGUUUGGUGUUUACACUAGACUGAUGAGUUGCGAACGGGUGAGUAACGCGUAGGUAACCUGCCUCAUAGCGGGGGAUAACUAUUGGAAACGAUAGCUAAUCCCGCAUAAGAGUGAUUAACACAUGUUAGUUAUUUAAAAGGAGCAAUUGCUUCACUGUGAG